GGGAAAGCUGCAUUUGGUGGGGGUGGUGGUCGGAGUGCUGAAAUUGGGGCUGGAGCAACAACGCCAUUUGCAAAUGGGCGUGGAGGUGCACCAACUGCACCAUUGGCCUGAGGCAUGCUUGGAGGCCCACUGGCAAACAAAGUGUGGGGCCUGCUCUUUUGGGAACUUGGAUUGCUUGCAGCCAGAACUCUCUCUGCUGGGGUACCAUGGCGCU
rnacentral:misc_RNA from 1 species